CUAAUAUAUAAGCCCAAGCUCAUUGGAGCCUCUUGAUGACACACUGGUGUGAAAUUUAUUAUGACAUGGGUAUCUCUCAUGGGGAGGAGUGAACUUGGUUACUGAAAAUAGCAGGAAGGCAUUUUUAUCACAUGCUAUUGUCAAUCACAUGGCUAUGGCGUUACCCCAAGUGUAGUAUUGCAUCAGAGAAGAGCAUUUCAAUCUGGUAAUGACAGGUGAGAUCUUUCCGAAUGCUUUCUAAGCUUAACUCAUUAUAUAUAGGCAGGAGUUGAAACCUUGGCAUGAGUGGAAAAGGUAAAAAGUCUUUGGAAUGACAUGACUGCCUAGACAGACAGUCUGAGGGAUAUUUAGGUAUCAUUUAUCUAACUCUCUACCAGGUGAAAAUUCUGAUUCAGGCAUUAGCAUUGACUUUCAAUCAAAAAAAAAUUUUAAAUAAACUAAUUACUUUGCUGAUAGUGAGUGGAUGUGUGAAACCAGUAAGGGACCAGGAAAGGGGAGAGUGAACCCUGUGGUAUAAAUGAAAGGCAUGAACAUGCCUGCUUUUCUUGCUGGUCCCACCACC
rnacentral:lncRNA from 1 species